CAGGCCUGCCCCCGGCCCCCCUCUUCUUGUCACGAGACGAGAGGCGCUGCUGCUGAGCGUCACGCGCUCCUUUUAUGCGCAAACCGCUGCGGAUGCUAGCUGGCGCAGCGCAUUGAUUUUGUUUUAUGCCAAGCACUAAGCAGAAGGAAGCUGCACAAGCGCAUUGCCCCCUCGCUCCUGGCAGUAAACUUAACUAGUCUGUUAUUACUCAGUCCCAGUUCCCAGCAUGGCCGCGCUCGGCUCUUCCGUUCCUUCGGUAAGCCUGCCGUUCCAUGCCCCCGUGGUUCCUCCUCGCCGCUGCGGGGGCAGGCCGGCGACCGCCGCAUCGGCUCUCCACCGGAGAUGUCUGCCUACCGGCUCGACGACGAGCUCGUCAGGCGUGAACACCGCCUUCCUCCCGGUGAGAAGAGCUAGCACACGAGUCUCUGCAGUUGAUGCUGGUAGCGCUGCUGGCCUGGAUCUGCUGCCAGGACUGAAUCUCCCCAUUCCUCCAUGGGCCCAGUGGCUGGUUGGUGCUAUCGUGGUCGCAGUUCCUGCUUACAGACAGUUCAGAGCAAUGGAAGAUAAGGUGGAGAGGACGGCGGAGGCGGCGAUCGAGGUGGUCGAAAAGGUGGCGGAGGAGGCGGAGAAGAUCGCCGACGAGGUCGCCGACACGUUCCAAGGCAAUGAGAUGAUCAAGGGGGCGGCCUUGAAGAUCAAGGCGGUGGCGGAGGAGAUCGAGGAAGAUGCCGACAAAGCUGAGGCCCUGAUCGAGAAGGUUGAUGAGAUAAAGAAAGAGAUCGAUGAAAUAGUCGAUCCUAUACUUGACAAGGUCGCCAAGAAAUAACCUUAGAGAAGCAGAGCUCAAGGAGAGAAGCGGAACGGAAGACAUCGUCAGGCAGCUAGCUAAACUUUAGCCCUCCGAAACUGCAAGCCCUGCUCCUCGCACCGCACCCCCAAUGUGAACCCUAGUGGCGGCGCACCAAAGGCUGCAGCAAGCGGCAACGAGGCGGCUGCCGACCGCGCGGGUGUGAGGAGACGAGUGGAGAGACCAAACAUGUGGCCUGUGGAAGACAAGACGGGUGCCUCAUUUUCUUUUUAUGUAUUUCUUACACGUGGGUCCUAGCAUAGAUGCCCCUAGCAGGGCAAAACAGGCUCGAUACCAAUUUUUCUGAUGUAAGGAUCCAAUUAUUUACCGUCUUCACUCCUACAAUGUGGAGGGUGCAAGUUUGUUCA